rnacentral:rRNA from 1 species
UACGUAGGGGGCAAGCGUUGUCCGGAAUCAUUGGGCGUAAAGCGCGUGUAGGCGGCUGAGUAAGUCUGCUCUGAAAGCCCGAGGCUCAACUUCGGGUCGGCCACUGAUACUGCGGGGCUCGAGUCGACUAGAGGCAGAUGGAAUUCCGGGUGUAGCGGUGGAAUGCGUAGAGAUCCGGAAGAACACCGGUGGCGAAGGCGGUCUGCUGGGGUCGAACUGACGCUGAGGCGCGACAGCGUGGGGAGCAAACAGG